rnacentral:lncRNA from 1 species
GAGGAAGAAAACAUUAAGUAAAUUUAAAUUAAUUCUGAAACCUAUUUUAUUGUUUAAGUUUCUCCCAAGACACUGUUGGUAUCUGGUGUAUUUUGUAACCCCAGCGCCUGGCAUAGUCCCCAGUAGUGGCUCACCAGGUCAUGUUAAAUGUAAGGAAUGUUGGGGCUAGUGUCCAGGCUUUGACGACUGAUCUGUCUCAGUCACACUUUACGCAGGAUCUAUGGACUCAGAUACUCUUAUGAGAAUUUUGAAAGGGGAAGAAAAUUCCAAGCACUAAAUACCCCGGACUUGACUGUAUGAUGCUAAGAUCCUAAAGAUCUGAGAUGCUGUUGGUAUCUGAAAUGAAAAGUUGAAUUGUUCUGCUUCUGGUCAAAGAGUUUAUCAUGUAUAUCUUGUCCCCUAGGGGUUUCCUUUUAAUGAAAUGUGCAGGUAACAGAUGAGUUUUGGUGGGUGGCUAAGAGAGAUGCUUUCUACCAACAUGGUUCAGGAGUCUGCAUUAGAUCUUCCUGGCACCAAAUGCUCCUUGCAUGAUGGGUCUUGAGUAUGAGAGAGAACAGGCAUCUCUCGACAGAGGAAGUCAUAGGACUUUCCUACCAUUGGUCUCCAUAAAAUUAAGUGUACACAGCAGAGGAUGCCUGCUCAGAAGCACAGAAGGUUAGGCCUGGGGUUUUUCUCCUGCCGGAGUUAGCUCUUCCUGGGUUCCUGGAGAACUUCCCUGUCUUCUGAGAUGUUCAGAUGUCUAGAAUCCACACCUUUGCUGCUCCACACCCCCAAUCAGCGAGCUACCCAAUUACAUUAGCAAGUGAAUUUCCUUUCAUAUAUGAAACUUCCCAUGUCCUUCUCCUGUCCUCUUCUCUCUUCCCCUGCCCUUCUCGCCUAUUUCUCCCUUCUCCUAUUCUUCUCCCUUUCCUCUUUCCCAAUCUCUCUCUUUUCCCCUUGCCCUCCCAUCCCUCUUUCCUUCCCUUUCUACUCCUCUCCUUCCUCAUCCAUCCUCCAUUGUCUUGAUUGAUAGAAAAUGCCAUGGUGGAAUCUUUGGGGUCAUUCAUACUUGAUUCUACCAGACUUUGAUACAAAACCCCUCAGAAGCCUAGAAAGUCAUCAGUCAUUUUUGGAUAACAUAUAACCAAUGAUCUAUUACCCUCUUCUUGGAAACAGGCUUCCAGACAACUAAAGGGUCAAGGAGAAAACCAAGGUGAGUUUGACUAUGUCAUAGCAUGGAAUGUUGAGAGAAAAGCUAUCUAUAUAUUAUGGAGGUAAUGGUGAGUCACAGUCUUUCCAACAAAUCAGAUCUUAUAUCAUGGAUGCCUCCAUUUAACAAAUGUUACUGCUGAUUUAUCAGUAGACAGACAAAAUCCAGCAUCUUUAUUGAGCUAAAAAAUGGACAGUGAGUGAAUUAUUGUGCUAUGUUGAUUCUGGAGAGCAAAAUGCUUUACAUUAGUACCUCCAAAGCUGGGAUGCAGUCUAUGGUCACCAGCAUCUUACAGUUAAUAUUGGCCAGCUAGUCUUUAGGUCAUUGUUGUUGUAUAAGACUGCACUAACCUGGCACACUCUGUGUAUAUUAUUGCUACCUGGCCUC